AAACAAAUAUUUUCUACUUUGAAUAUUAGCAAGCAAUCAAUGUUUUAACAACGUACAGGAACAUCAUAUCUCCCUCCGGAUCAAUGUUGCAUACAUUUUCAGUUAUAUACUCAUUUAAGAUAGAAACAGACAAUUUUUUCCUGAAGCACUUUAUUCUUUAUUUAUGAGAUUUUGAAUCAUCAAUCUUUUCGAGAAAAAAAAACCCAACUUCUACUACUACUUCAACUUCUACCAUCGCUGCCGUCACCUUUUAAUACAAAAGUGAAAAGUAACCAGAGCAUGAGACUCAAACACCAGUCUUAUUGAUACAUUUGUAACUAUAGGUUAAUAAUGAUAUGAUAUACAAGGAUAUGUUGUAAAAGAAGUUGCGGAGACCAGUCUAUGAGACAGAAGUUGCGGAGACCAGUCAAUGAGACAGAAGUUGCGGAGACCAGUCAGUGAGACAGAAGUUGCGGGGACCAGUCAAUGAAACAGAAGUUGCGGAGACCAGUCAAUGAGACAGCAACCAAACACAACAAAUACAAACAAAUAUAUAAUAAAUUACUACUGUCUAGCUGAAAAAUCAGACAACAAAUCCAAAUGGAGAGGUCAAAUACAAAUCCACACUUAUAAAUGACAACACCCGUAUAAAAAAAUAGUAGUUGCUUAAAAUAUCUAUGAUAAGAAGUAAAAUAGAAAAUUCAGUUCAGGACCAGUGAAAGUGACAAGAUGAUCGAGAGAAAAAAUGCAUAUAUAAUUAUCUGCCUCAUGAUUCCAUCCCUAGUUUGUAUAUUUAUUUAAUAUGCCUCGAUUAUUAUUUUCUUUUGUAAAUAAUCUGGUUUUUUUUAUAAUAGGAUUAAUUGAUAUAUACAUGUAUACCCCCGCCAUUUAUUUUCUGUUGUCUUUUUCGAUAAAAUAAUAGUUAGUGUAUUAUCAUCUCUGAUGCAGCUAUUGACCUCGGCUACGCCUCAAUGCAAUUAUAGUUGAACCUCGGG
rnacentral:lncRNA from 1 species